UGGUUCCGCUGCUGUGGGCCCCGGCUGCGGUCCGGGCCGGCCCAGAUGAAGACCUUAGCCACCGGAACAAAGAACCGCCGGCGCCGGCCCAGCAGCUGCAGCCGCAGCCUGUGGCUGUGCAGGGCCCCGAGCCGGCCCGGGUCGAGUCGUGGGCUUUGUCGUCAUUUCCAGUAUCUGCUCCCUGAAUCCCGGCCAGUGUGGCACUUAAACCCCCACUCCCACCCAGGCCACAUCCAGCCCAUCUCCACGUAACUAAUCUUCCCGAACAUUGAAUUCUGCCAUCUUGUCAGAAGUCGUCGGUGAGUUGCCUCCACUAAUUUCAGUCCAGCCUUUUUAGGAGAGUGAUGUUCAGGUUUCUCCUGAUCUGGCUCCAGCUCACCUCCAGGCUUUUUAGCCACCGCUUUCUUGCUCAUAUGCUAAAGGGAUAUGCUCA
rnacentral:sRNA from 1 species